UCCCCAAAAAAACAAAAUUCGAAAUAAAAUUCAUUACGCAUUUGAAAUAACCAUUCAAACCGAGCAUUCCGUCAGCUAAGAGUUCGCUCCCCUUAAGAAUGUAACCCUAUCGUGCAAAUGUUAACUAAACCAAGACGAAAACUUAAAAAAUAAAAAAGGAAUAAAUCUCUGCGUAUGAAAGUUAAUAUAGCACACUGAAAUCAAGAUUAUUUAUUUACUUAUAAAUAGAAAGGUGUUUAUUAUUGUUAUUGUUAUUAUUAAAGAAUUAGAAUUUAUAUACUGCCCUAUACCUGCAGGCUCAGGGUGGUUCACAAAAUAAAAUCAGAAUUAUUGUUGUUUAGUCGUUUAGUCGUGUCCGACUCUUCGUGACCCCAUGGACCAGAGCACGCCAGGCACUCCUGUCUUCCACUGCCUCCCGCAGUUUGGUCAAACUCAUGCUGGUAGCUUCGAGAACACUGUCCAACCAUCUCGUCCUCUGUCGUCCCCUUCUCCUUGUGCCCUCAAUCUUUCCCAACAUCAGGGUCUUUUCCAGGGAGUCUUCUCUUCUCAUGAGCUGGCCAAAGUAUUGGAGCCUCAGCUUCACGAUCUGUCCUUCCAGUGAGCACUCUGGGCUGAUUUCCUUAAGAAUGGAGAGGUUUGUUCUUCUUGCAGUCCAUUGGACUCUCAAGAGUCUCCUCCAGCACCAUAAUUCAAAAGCAUCAAUUCUUCGGCGAUCAGCCUUCUUUAUGGUCCAGCUCUCACUUCCAUACAUCACUACUGGGAAAACCAUGGCUUUACUAUACGGACCUUUGUUGGCAAGGUGAUAUCUCUGCUUUUUAAGAUGCUGACUAGGUUUGCCAUCGCCUUUCUCCCAAGGAGCAAGCGUCUUUUAAUUUCGUGACUGCUGUCACCAUCUGCAGUGAUCAUGGAGCCCAAGAAAGUAAAAUCUCUCACUGCCUCCAUUUCUUCCCCCUCUAUUUGCCAGGAGGUGAUGGGACCAGUGGCCAUGAUCUUCGUUUUUUUUGAUGUUGAGCUUCAGACCAUAUUUUGCGCUCUCCUCUUUCACCCUCAUUAAAGGUUCUUUAAUUCCUCUUCACUUUCUGCCAUCAAGGUUGUGUCAUCUGCAUAUCUGAGGUUGUUGAUAUUUCUUCCGGCGAUCUUAAUUCCGGCUUGGGAUUCAUCCAGCCCAGCCUUUCGCAUGAUGAAUUCUGCAUAUAAGUUAAAUAAGCAGGGAGACAAUAUACAGCCUUGUCGUACUCCUUUCCCAAUUUUGAACCAAUCAGUUGUUCCAUAUCCAGUUCUAACUGUAGCUUCUUGUCCCACAUAGAGAUUUCUCAGGAGACAGAUGAGGUGAUCAGGCACUCCCAUUUCUUUAAGAACUUGCCAUAGUUUGCUGUGGUCGACACAGUCAAAGGCUUUUGCAUAGUCAAUGAAGCAGAAGUAGAUGUCUUUCUGGAACUCUCUAGCUUUCUCCAUAAUCCAGUGCAUGUUUGCAAUUUGGUCUCUGGUUCCUCUGCCCCUUCAAAAUCCAGCUUGCACUUCUGGGAGUUCUCGGUCCACAUACUGCUUAAGCCUGCCUUGUAGAAUUUUGAGCAUAACCUUGCUAGCGUGUGAAAUGAGUGCAAUUGUGCGGUAGUUGGAGCAUUCUUUGGCACUGCCCUUCUUUGGGAUUGGUAUGUAGACUGAUCUUCUCCAAUCCUCUGACCACUGCUGAGUUUUCCAAAUUUGCUGGCAUAUUGAGUGUAGCACCAGAGUGUAUAAUCAGAAUAUAAAACCAC
rnacentral:lncRNA from 1 species